rnacentral:rRNA from 1 species
AGUGAACGCUGGCGGUAGGCCUAACACAUGCAAGUCGAACGGCAGCACAGUAAGAGCUUGCUCUUACGGGUGGCGAGUGGCGGACGGGUGAGGAAUACAUCGGAAUCUACUUUUUCGUGGGGGAUAACGUAGGGAAACUUAAGCUAAUACCGCAUACGACCUACGGGUGAAAGCAGGGGAUCUUCUGACCUUGCGCGAUUGAAUGAGCCGAUGUCGGAUUAGCUAGUUGGCGGGGUAAAGGCCCACCAAGGCGACGAUCCGUAGCUGGUCUGAGAGGAUGAUUACCCACAUGGGAACUGAGACACGGUCCAGACUCCUGCGGGAGGCAGCAGUGGGGAAUAUUGGACAAUGGGCGCAAGCCUGAUCCAGCAAUACCGCGUGAGUGAAGAAGGCCUUCGGGUUGUAAAGCCCUUUUGUUGGGAAAGAAAAGCAGCAGGUUAAUACCCCGCUGUUAUGACGGUACCCAAAGAAUAAGCACCGGCUAACUUCGUG